UGGAAGACUUGUGAUUUUGUUGUUAUCGUCGUUAUCACGAGCGACAAGUCACAGUCUGCCUCA
rnacentral:pre_miRNA from 1 species